GGGGAUAUAGCUCAGCAGUGCAGCACCUGCCUGGCAAGUACAAGGUCCUGAGUUUGAUUCCCAGUACCCACA
rnacentral:tRNA from 1 species